rnacentral:lncRNA from 1 species
UGUCCCAUCAUGCCGGCAGGUAUGAAACCUCUGGAGAAGUUCCUGAAGAAGCAGACGACGGCGCUAACUCGUGCCGGCGGCUUCGGUGGCGUCGGGGACAAAGCUAGCGGCGGCACUGGGGCGUCGCGGCGCCGGGCUAGUCUGUCCCGGGUUGUCCCCUUCUUCAGGGAGACGUCACCUGAGAGCGGCCAGGCCCGGGAGGUGUUCAGCCCUGACAGCGAGGACCCGCCCUCCUGGCCGUCGUCCGCGGGUCCUUGUGUGGUGACGGCACACGCCAAUGCCAACGGCUCGGGGUCGGGUUCUGGAUCUGGGGGCGGAGACGUGCGCAGUCCGUCCCUGUCCAGUGACGAGCAGAGCUCUGAGGCCAGUCUGAUCACAGAGAGCAGCAGCAGCGGAGGGGGCGGGGCCACGCCGCUCCACGCCGACACCCCCGACAACGUGACACUGGCCGUGUUGGACAGUGUGGCGGGAAAACGCUACGGACACUGUACAGAGACGCUGCUGGAUGACUUCAUGUUGACACAUCCCAUCUUCCUGACGGCCGACAGGUUCCAGCAGGUUCUGCUGCAGCAGUAUCCUCCUCUGAACAGAACGCAGGUAAACACGGGCGUCCAGGUAUGCGCUGGUGUUCUGCCUGAUCACAUGUUUGGUGGAACAGCUUCAGCAGGAUCCAACAGGUUCCACACAGACGUUUAAGACCGUAAUGACAGCGGCGUUAAGAUGCGUGUCCAAACUGGUAGAAGGACCACGAGGACCACGUGGAGACAGUGUCAGGCGUGUACCGGGUUUAGACGGAUCCAGGUUUAAUUCCCCUGAACAGACGUGAGCGCAGAACAGCGGCGUGUACGCGGAAACUCGUAUGAAUGGCAGUAAUCUGAUUACAAUCAGAUGAACACCCCUGGGUUUGUCCCAGUCCUCCAUGUCUUUAUGUAAACAGGUUCAUCUGACGGAUUCAGUUCAGUUCCAUCUGAACAUGUGCAAAAACUAUGAAAAAGAAUGUAGACAGCAAGAACAGGAAGUUGGAUUCUACGUCACUAGAGUCAAACUAAAGUCGAAUAAAAUAAAAAUGAGCAAAACUGAAAAAAAAUGUAAUAAAAUAAUGAUAAAAUGAACAAAAUUGGACAAAAAUUUAGUGAAAAAAUGAACAAAACCAAACAUUAAUUAAAUAAAUUAAUGAAAAAAAUGAACCAAAUUAAACAUCAUGAGUUGACGACAGUAACAGAAGUGGGACUCUACGUACGAACAAACUCUGAAAUAAAUCCAGUAAUGGACUGAAACGACUAAACCAGGGUUUAUGGAUUAUCCUAUUUCUGAAGUGACAGUAAACGCAUCAUCAUCUCAUUAUUACAGUUAUUGAAUGAAAAUCGUCAUGGAAACUGGAGUUUAUUCAUAAAUUGCUCAUUUUUCUUUGAAUUCAACUUGUUUCUUUAAAUAUUUCCUUAUUUCUUCUGUAAUUGCGACUUUUAUUUUCAUAUAAUAGUUUGACUUUAUUCUCAUUUUCCGUCCAUUAGAUCAGAUUUUCGUUACGAUGUAAAAGGGGGCGGGGCUUGUUCUGGUCUAAACUGUGUUGCCGGUUGUUGAUUGGUUGGUUCUGAUGGAUGGUCCUUAGAAAUCCUUUAAGCACCAUCACUAGAUUCAAAACAACACAGAUUUAUGUUUGUGUCUAUGGAAUGAUUUCUACUGACAUCUACCAGAAGAAAGAAAUUAAUCAGCACAUUUGGGAUCGAAUGGAAAAACCGACAUGACACACUUCUGUUUGGAACACAUUUAUAUAAAUAUGGGGACAGUUUAGCUCAGAUGGACCAUGGAAAAGAGACUACAGAUAGAAUUCUUCACUGGUAAAUGUUGAAAUAGAAGAUAUAAUAAAAAAUUCAGAAAAGUCAAAUAGUGAAAUAAAGUCAUUGUUCAUAAAGACGCAGUUUUAUUCCAUAAAACAGUUGAAACGGUCAUCGUCUCCUGAAUCUGAUGAACGUCCUUUAUUUGAAGGAAAAGCAGCCGUUUGUUUGUCAUCAGAUGGUGUUAAAAUGCAGAGUCUUUUCCUUUUCCGUCCAAUUCAACACUUCAACACUCACCCACUCACAAACAAAAACACAUACUAACCACCGAGUGGGAGGAGGACAAGGAGAAGGAGGACGAGUGGAG